AAUGGUGUACCUGCGUGUGCCAAUAAGAAGACUUUGAGUGAUAUUCUCCGAGACGAAUGGGGCUUUAAAGGAUAUGUUGUCAGUGACAUGGAGGCCAUCGAAAUGAUAAUAUCGCAGCAUAAAUAUUACAAUAACAGUAUCGAUACGGCGACUGGGUCUGUUAAUGCUGGUGUUAACUUAGAAUUAGCUGGUAGAACAACUAAAACUGGUGUUUUCACCUAUAUCGCGCAAGCGGUUAAAGAAGGAAAACUUAACGCAAGCUUAGUAAAAGAAAGGGUUAAACCACUAUUCUAUACAAGAAUGAGGUUAGGAGAAUUUGAUCCACCAGAGAUGAAUCCCUAUUCCGCCAUCAAUACAUCUGUUAUAGAAGAACAAGCUCAUAGAGACUUGGCUGUAGAAGCUGCUAUGAAGUCCUUUGUUUUAUUAAAGAAUGACGGCUUGUUGCCGCUGACGCAAGCUACUUACAAUAGUAUAUCGAUAAUUGGGCCUUUGAUAGAUGACAAUGACCAUAUUGAAGGCAGCUACACAGCAAAGCCAGACAAUAAAUUUAUCACCACUGUUCAUGAAGGUCUUCGAACAUUAGGGAAAACUGUUAAAAACGCUACCGGAUGUCUUGAUGAUACGGCGUGUACUAAAUAUGAUUCACACUCAAUUAAAACGGCUGUACAAGGUGUUGAUAUUAUCUUUAUUUGCCUCGGAUUAGGGCCCCCAAUAGAAGGAGAAAGUCGUGACCGAUCUGAUAUACAAUUCCCUGGACAACAGUCACAAUUAUUAAUGGAUGCUGUAAACAAUAGUGGAUCUGCUAAAAUUGUUCUAAUAAUGUUUAACGCCGGGCCAGUAAAUAUAAGCUGGGCUGACCAUAAUCCUCGAGUAUCCGCGAUUUUAGCUGCGUUUUAUCCAGGACAAGGUGCGGGAGUUGCUCUCAGAAAUGUUCUAACCAGUUCAAAUAAAGCACAGUUUGGUAGAUUGCCAUAUACGUGGUUUUAUUCGGCUGACCAGGUUCCACCAAUAGUUAACUAUACCAUGGAGGGUAGAACGUAUCGCUACUUAAAUGCGGAGCCACUGUAUCCAUUUGGUUACGGUUUGACCUACACCAGCUUUGAAUACAUAGAACUCAUGUAUAAUUAUGUUGUAAAUGCUGGUGAUAUGAUGUUUGGUUCUGUGAAACUUGUUAAUACGGGUAGUUGCACAGGAGACGAGAUAAUUCAAGUUUAUGUGUCUUGGGUAAGUGCUAGUGUCCCUGUGCCUCUAAUACAACUAGUAAACUUUACAAGAGUUACCAUACCACCAGGUGGCAUAGUUGAGUUCCAGUUCAGUAUAUCUCCUGAAAACAUGGCGGUUUUUACAGAAAAUAAGGGAUGGGUUCUGGAAGAAGGGGAUAUUCGACUGUUUGUAGGCGGUGAACAGCCGGGACAAGUUAAG